rnacentral:rRNA from 1 species
GACGAACGCUGGCGGCGUGCUUAACACAUGCAAGUCGUGCGGAAAGGCCCCUUUGGGGUGCUCGAGCGGCGAACGGGUGAGUAACACGUGAGUAAUCUGCCCUGCACUUUGGGAUAACUGCCGGAAACGGUGGCUAAUACUGGAUAGGACUGCAUCCUGCAUGGGGUGUGGUGGAAAGCCUUUGGGUGGUGUGGGAUGUGCUCGCGGCCUAUCAGCUUGAUGGUGGGGUAGUGGCCUACCAUGGCUUUGACGGGUAGCCGGCCUGAGAGGGUGACCGGGUCACACUGGGACUGAGACACGGCCCAGACUCCUGCGGGAGGCAGCAGUGGGGAGUAUUGGACAAUGGGCGGAAGCCUGAUCCAGCAACGCCGCGU